AGUCUAGAUGGAGGAGCCCUCCACUGUGGAUCCUUGUGUGUGCAGGCUCAGGGAAGUCCAGGCUCCAGUCACCCCUGCUGAAUGAAAACACAGCUCACUCUCACCUUCCUCAGACCAAAAUCUGCAUGAGUCCGAGUUCUCCAGAGAAAUAGACCGAGAGAGAGAGAGAGAGAGAGAUUGAUUUCAGAGAAUUUUUUCACUCCUUUGUGGGGCUGGGAAAUCUGAAGUCUGCAGACCAGCAGGCUGGAAAUUCAGUUUUCCAGCUCUGCCCCCGUCUUUGCCACUAAAUCUGCAGUGUCUAUUGCUGGCCGUGGUCUCCCCGCUCCAGACGCCUUUCUGCCUGCAUUGAGGAGAGAGACACUGACCCUGAUGGGAAGCUUCCACACAUGUGCAGGGGGCCCGCCCGUGGUGAGGUCUCUGCAGCAUGAUGGGGCUGGAAGCUGGCGGCUUUGUUGUGGUUAUCUAUAAAUCUUCUGUUUGGGAACAGCCAGGCCUUUUCCUGAGUGGUCAAGUGUCUGCAGCCAGUGUAGGAGUGACUUCCCACAAAGUGUUAAGCGACAGUGAGACGCUGGCGGUUUUCCAGGGCACUGAGGCCGUGGGCAGGCUGGCUGGCCCCACCAGGGGAAGUGUUUGCAGUCCUGGUCGAUGGGCACACAAGCCUGAAAAUGUUUCUCCUGUGUGCUGGUGCAGUCCGGCUAUUUUUGAAGAAUGCUUGCUCUUGUUAAACAAAGCCUGAGCCCUGUUGGGAUGAGGCUGUUUUGAGCUGAGGCAGAGCUAGAAAGACAAGGGUGAAACACUGUGGAGAACCCUCAUGGAUCCUCUAAUCUGUGCAUGAUCUUGGAGGCCACACUUACACUGACUGCCACCCCCACACUGCUGGGCACCUGUGGCUCAAACGUUUCUCACCGUCUGCCACCUGCAUCCCUCGGUCUCGCCCUUGACACUGCAGGGAGGAGCUGAACCCCUGUGCUGUGAGCACUCUUCAGAUGGAUGAGGAUGUAGCAGCAGCCUCCCCCAGGCUUCUCAUCACCUCUGCCCUUGUCGCACACUCCUGUUAAGCCCAUAUCAAAUCAUUCCAUGCAUAAAACAAGUUGCCAAGGAGAGAGACUUACUGCUAUUUUUUUUUUUUAAAAAAGACCCGAACCCUUCUGUUUUUGUCAAAGUACACAAUGGAGUAGAAAUUUUGGAAAAUAGAGGAAAUAGCUUUAAAAAUAAUCACAUAUAAUCUCCCAGGCCAGAGAAAACUACUGAGAAUGUUUCACGGUACAUCUCCGUUUCUUCCAGUGCAUAGAAUUAGCUUCUACAUGGUGUUAAUAGUAUUGUAUUGUACUUAUUGCUUUAUAAUAUCCUUUUAUAUUUUAGAACAUCCUAGACUUUUUCACAAUUUAUUAAGUAUUCUCUAUGACAUUGGUUUCGUGGCUUUAAGCAUUUCUGCUGGAAGAGCCCUUGAUCACUCUCCAUUUCUUUCCUUUUCAAAUUUUCUUUCACGGCAUGCAUUGCCAUCUGCCAUUUUACGAUGUAUUUAGUGAUUUCUUGUCUGUGUCCUCAGCUAAAAUAGAAGCUUCAGCAGGAUAGGGUCUUUGCUGGUUUUGUCCACUGUUAUAUUAAAAGAACACAGAAUAAUAAGUGACACAUGGCAGACGGUCCACAAAUAUUUGUUGGAUACAUGAGUGGCUUUAAGCAGUCAUCCACUGAUGGACACUUGAAGUGACUAUGCAAUACACUACAUUGUAUGUAAAUCUUUUUGCUGUUAAAGCAAAUCUUCAGUGUGACCUUUCCAGGUCAAAAAGUAUGGAUUUUAGUUGGCUUUUAAUAAAAAUAAAUUAUCUUCCAGAAA
ensembl:lncRNA novel transcript